CAGCCGCCACGGGAAUACGGAGGGAGCUAGCGUUGUUCGGAAUUACUGGGCGUAAAGCGCGCGUAGGCGGUUACUCAAGUCAGAGGUGAAAGCCCGGGGCUCAACCCCGGAACUGCCUUUGAAACUAGGUGACUAGAAUCUUGGAGAGGUCAGUGGAAUUCCGAGUGUAGAGGUGAAAUUCGUAGAUAUUCGGAAGAACACCAGUGGCGAAGGCGACUGACUGGACAAGUAUUGACGCUGAGGUGCGAAAGCGUGGGGAGCAAACAGGAUUAGAUACCCCGGUAGUCCCUGUCUCUUAUAC
rnacentral:rRNA from 1 species